rnacentral:rRNA from 1 species
GACGAACGCUGGCGGCGUGCUUAACACAUGCAAGUCGAACGGAAAGGCCCUGCUUUUGUGGGGUGCUCGAGUGGCGAACGGGUGAGUAACACGAGAGUAACCUGCCCUUGACUUUGGGAUAACUUCAGGAAACUGGGGUUAAUACCGGAUAGGAUACCCUGCUGCAUGGUGGGCGUUGGAAAGUCUCGGCGGUGGUGGAUGGACGCGCGGCUGAUGAGCUUGCUGGUGGGGUAGUGGCUUACCAAGCCUUUGACGGAUAGCCGGCCUGAGAGCGUGACCGGCGACAAUGGGCCUACGAGACGGACCAGACUCCUACGGGAGGCAGCGGUGGGGAACAUUACCCAACGGGCGGACGCCUGUUGCGGCGACGCCGCGUGCGGAAUGACGGCCUUCGGGGUAUAAACCGCUUUCGCCUGUGACCAAGCGUGUGUGACGGUAAUCAGUAAAGAAGCACCGGCUAACUACGUG